UGACUGAGCCACCCAGGCGCCCUCAAACUCUUUUAGAACACUCUACAAAUAAGAGCUAUUCUAAUGUUUGAAAAAUGUGUUGGGAGCAUAUGAAGCUUUUCAGCUGGCCAGGAAUGCUGGAAAAGAAAUGUGACUUUUUAAAAUGACAUGCAAAACACACAGGUCAUUGUCUCCUAACUAGGGGUCAUCUGAGUCAGUAAGAAGUUACCUUAUGGAGAAAAUACAGUAGGACCAAGUAUGAAAGGCAACUGGAUGUAACCGUUAAUCACUCUCUGGUUUAAUGCUAUUCUGCUGAGAUCAGGCAAGAUAUAAGCAGGUUUAGAAACUAGAAAACCCCAUCCUCCGUGAGAUGAAGGCAGUGAAAAAGGAGUUUUGACCAGACGAGUCAACUCUUGGUCACGUUGACUGGAAAGCCAUCUUUUUGAAGGUGCUCCCCUAUCAGGUAACACAUUAUUUACUGGGCAUCGCAGAGCACCCUCCCAGAUGAUGAGGCGAUGGGGUCUAGCGGAGCGAGGGCCAUAGCACAUCUGGUUGGGAAGAUGGCAGUUCCACCAGGAACUUCACUCUCCCAAGAUGGAUUCCAGAAGCAUCUUGUUUCCCUUCUCCCCAGUCCUCUUCCUCCCAUCCAGCCAGUGGCUGUAAUACCCAGGCGAAGAGGAGAGCCAUUGUUUAAGCCGCUAUCUUUUGGCCUGAGGGUUUGGGGGUAUGUUGAUAUUUGUCGGUUACUAUGACUUCUUUUUUUUCCCCCCUCAAUUGCAUCAAACCCUUAAAACAUGGUGGUAAGUGAGCGAUAUGCAUGCUUUUGGAGUUUGUUUAAUCUCCGCUUCAGUCUAUACGAUGCACAGUUCAUAAUGUUAACACUUUUCUUCAAGUUGACUUCAUUCACUUUCACAACUAAUUUGGAUUUCAGUUUGCUGUUUAAUCCUCAUUUACUUUUUGAUUUUUGUACCUUUUUUUUUUUUUCUGUAGUUCUGUUCUUUCCCUCUCUCCUGAUUUCCCUGUUAGGGUCAGGUUGUUGGGGUUUUUUUGUUUGUUUGUUUUUUGGUUGUUUUUUUUGUUUUUUUUCCCCCCGGUCUGACCUGUAGAGGGAGAGUGGUGCUGCAGAUAGUGAGUCAGUCCAGACAGUAGGAGACACGAGGCUCUUUUCUGGGUUCCUUGUCAAUGUGCAAGUGGAUCCGGGGAGAGAGAUGAAGGGAGAUCUAGAUGCACCUGCUCCCACUCGCAGGCAUGGCAGCUGCACCGGGGCCGCUGUUGCUCAAACCCCUACAUGCAGCCCUUUGCGCCUUACCGGCUUGUUAGGCUGGGAGGUGACGCCACCGGGCAGACAGCAGGGCCCACCCCUCCGCCACCAAGAGAAAGAGAAGCUUGCGUGUAAAGUGCUUGGGUCGGUGUGGACAGUGUCCUGCUUUGAGGAGAUUAGCUUGGCUGUCGCGAUUCCUCUCCCCUGCUUUUUCUUUUCAUGUUGGGAGUAGAUUGGUGAUAUUCUCGUCCGUUAUCUUGCUUUAGAAUUUUCUGUUUUCCGGUGCACGGCCAGAGCACCGGAACUAUUCUGAGUUUGCUCCUGGGUCUUUUCCUUGACGUCCCUGAAGUGCUUAGUUCCUAGCAUGUAGCUGAGCUGGCUUGGCCUGGAUGCGGAGAGCCUAGGGUGUCGUGGUGAGAGUAGACGUAGGCUGGGCUCGUGUGUCUCAGUCUUGAUGUGUCUCGUGUAUCUCCACUGCAUCCCCAGCACACAGAUGUCUCGGGUGUCCUUGAGUCUUAGUCGUUCUCUGUACCUGUGCGAUAGAGUACUGUUGUUCGUAGUAGAAUCCUGUGGACACUGGUGUGUCGCUAGCCUGUUGUUUUGGCUGACACGUCAUUGGUUUGUGGUUAGCUUUUGUUUUUGUUUUUAUUUUUCAAUCUUUUUUUGCUCCAGUCACUGUGUGUGCUGGCGGUGGCUUUGCCUCUCCGUUGCCUCGAAGGAAUAGGUGGAGCAAUGUCUCCCUGUGACAGACAUUACUCCUGACGCGUGCUCCUGCAGACGCCUACACUGAGACUGUGACCUCCAUAACUGCUUCAUGUGCACCAAGCCCCCUUGUGGAAUCCUGCUGAGAGGUUUUCUAGAAGCCUUCGGUGAAACCAAACUGUUCUGAAUCAUUUAGUCUACCUGACUUAUGUAAAAUAGAAAAAAAACUAAGAGCACUUACUUGUUCCCUCCCCUUUGUGGGCCUCUUUAAAAAAAUAUCCCAUGUACCUGCAUCCUUGCCUAAAGGGGACCAAGUUGCCCUUAGUCCAAACAGGAAAGAAAAACUCACAAAUCAGAAUUGUGAAAUACCAAUUUAAGAAGGCUUCUAAACUCAGAUAAUGUAAGCUUUUUGGUUUUAAAAAAAAAAAAAAAUCUCAUGGCUCAUCUGGAUUUGGGUGCUGGUUCUGGCCAGGGCUCAAGAGUUGAGCGUGUCUUUCUGUCUGAGGUCUUUUCUAGAGGGAUGUCACCACUAUUCAGCUCUCCCCGGUGUGUCACAGAACAUCUUCUGGUAUGCAUACACUUGUUGCUGGCAUAGCCCAGCCGGGCUGACCCAGUAUUAGGUUGAACUAUUGUGGCUUCCUCUUCCUCAAUCUCUUCUCCAGACUAAAGACUUCCUAAAGAUGACAAAAGAGCAAGAACAGUGUCCUUUGGGGAAGUGAGGAUGUGUGGCUAAAUGUAUAGAACAUACACAUCCAUCUACAUUGUAGGAUUGAGCCAAAACUGUGCAUGCAUUCACCACAAGAAAACAAACAGCAGGAUUUUACAACUGAAAUGUUGGUUUGUCUUCUCAUCUAUUUAAGAGUGAACCACUGGAACUUGGGGACAAGAUGAGUAUGAUGAUAUUGCAGCCUAUCUGUCCGCUACAGUUGCAGUUUUUCAUGACAAGCAUUCAAAGUGUUAACUAAAACCAUUGAAACAACAUACCUGCCAUUAAAAACUUGAAUCUAGAAAUAAUAACUCCAUGAGUGUUUUUGCACCUCCAGAUGGAAUGGCCUUGAAUAAAUGCUAUGAAUAGCCAUGUUUGCCACUUGCCGUUUGCUCUUCUAUUCAUUCUUAUGUAGAGUCUCACGAUUUUCUCCUUUCUUCUCCUCUCAAUGGAUUAUUAAAAAACUGAACACCUUACAGACGAUGAACCAGCUGGGCCAAUGAAAACCAACUCUACCAACAAUCACAAAGAGAAAAACUUGCGCCAGAGAAACACAAAUUAAAUACUGCUUAUGAUACCUUUAGGUUCCUGAAACUGGUGGCAACAUGACCUGCUAAAUUUUCUGCUUGGACCUCUUUGGUUCUCUCCCCUUUCAAGCGAGCAGCACCACAAUGACUGUCUAAAGCAUGCCUUAUUUAGCCUUUCCUGUAAGGGUGACCUAGUCAGGUACAUUUUAAACAAUGCUUCAGUGUAGAAGGUGUAAACUAUUUUGGGCUUGAUGUGCUGUGAAUGUUGCUUUUUUCCCCCCUUUGUUAAAAUAUUUAAGUAGAAGUGAAAAGGUCCUCUGAGGAUCGGAUCGUGCAUGCGCCAUUUUUUACUUAAUGCAGCUGUUAAAUUGGCAAAGCUCUAAAUUGCACUGCUGCCAUCUAGUGGUAACAUUUUUGUAAAGUACAGCAAAACCUACAGAUAUAUACAGUAUAUAAAUAUAUAUAUAUAUAUUUAUAUUUUUGGGGGUGGGAGAAAUCCAAAAUAAAAUAAAUGCUUGUUUCAUUUUUUAGCUGCUGAUAUUCAUUCCUUAUUGUAUGUUGUCAGAUGAGGAAAGUGUGCAGUUCUGGUACAUAAAGAUGAAUAAUAUAAACUGAAAUCUAUGGUUCUAAGGGCUUAACCUACGACUUUGGUAAGAAGCCGGAACACUCCACUGAAUGGAUAUAUUGAAUUGCAGUAUAUAUGUAUGAUUGCUUUUUAAGUGACUCUUUUCUUUUGUUAAAUCAUGUAAAUUCCUAAAUCCUUUUGCACUGAUGUGUUGAACCUUAUUGUACAUUCAAUGAAGGCAAACUUUUAUAAUUUACCUUUUGUUUUCAAAGACCUUGAAAUGUUCUCGCAUGGUAUUCUAUGCAACUCGUUCUCCUCCGGGGUUGACACUGUAUUUUUCACAUUGACUUAAUGGUUGAGUGUAGAUUUUCUCGCCCGGCAGGGUUCUCAUGCGGUAUGUAACCAUAGAUGCAUGUACUGGUGUUUUGUGUAAGUGUUGAAGUGCAAUGAUGUAUAAAAAAGUGGAUUCACCUGUUUUUAAAAAUAAAACAUUGAUAAAAGGUG